rnacentral:misc_RNA from 1 species
GAUGAAGAACGUAGCGAAAUGCGAUAAGUAGUGUGAAUUGCAGAAUUCAGUGAAUCAUCGAAUCUUUGAACGCACAUUGCGCCCCUUGGUAUUCCGAGGGGCAUGCCUGUUCGAGCGUCAUUAUAACCCCUCAAGCUCGGCUUGGUGUUGGGGCCUGCCGCACGGGCAGCCCUUAAAAUCAGUGGCGGUGCCAUCUGGCUCUAAGCGUAGUAAUUCUUCUCGCUAUAGAGUCCCGGUGGAUGCUUGCCAUUAACCCCCAAUUUCAAUGGUUGACCUCGGAUCAGGUAGGGAUACCCGCUGAACUUAAGCAUAUCAAUAAGCGGAGGA